GCCGGGGUAGGGUAGUGGCUUAACCUUCGGGACUGUGGCUCCCGCGCCCCGGGUUCGAAUCCCGGCCUCGGCC
rfam:Candidate divison MSBL1 archaeon SCGC-AAA259D14 AAA259D14_Contig_93, whole genome shotgun sequence.